rnacentral:lncRNA from 1 species
UUUAGGUUUUUUUAGCUUUAAGUUUUGAGAUUAUUUUUUAGUGUUUAGGGUUGGUAGAGUUUUAGGAUUAGAUGAGAUUUAUGGUUAGGUUUAGGUAGGGUUUUAGGGUUAGGUUUAGGUAGGGUUUUAGGGUUAGGUUUAGGCAGGGUUUAGGGUUUAGGGUUAGGUAGGGUUUUUAGGGCUAGGUAGGGUUUUUAGGGUUAGGCAGGGUUUAGGGUUAGGUAGGGUUUAGGGUUAGAAAGGGUUUAGGGUUAGGUAGGGUUUAGAAUUAGGUAGGGUUUAGGGUUAGUAGGAUUGGGUUAGGUAUGGUUUAGGGUUAAAAAGAGGGUUUAGGGCUAGGUAGGGUUUACGGUUAGUAGGGUUUAGGAUUAAAAAGGGUUUAGGGUUUAGGGCUAGGUAGGGUUUACGGUUAGUAGGGUUUAGGGUUUAGGGUUAGGUAGGGUUUAGGUUAGGUAGGGUUUAGGUUAGUAGGGUUUAGGGCUAGGUAGGGUUUAGGGUUAGGUAGGGUUUAGGGUUAGUAAGAGGAAAAACGAAGAGAAGAGUAUUCAAGCAAGAAAGAACGUCACAGCUGACGUGGACAAUGUGGAGUCAGAUCAAUAACAGUCACGGGUUGUUACAGGCAGUUACAGACGUUAGAUAAUUGAGUCAUUCGUCUAUUAUAAAUAGGAGUCUGUUUGUAAAGUCAAGGAGCUUUUUGAGUACUGAGUAACUAGGAUCUAGACUAGAAGGUCUUGAUCACUGGCUCUUGACGAGUGAGUCGUCUUGAGAGUUCUUGUAUUGGCUUGUAACUCUGCGUGUAGAGUACAAGAGAGGGAGGCUGGGCGGUAAUUCAAUAAACAUAUAUACAUUCUCUUAUCAUUUGGUGCGGUGAGCUCUCGGAUCUCGCGACGAUUGAAGGCGAUGACGAGAUCAACGACUCUCGAAGAAUCGAUACAACGGAUUGGAGCUCUGGACUCCAACGUCGACGAUUUGCGACGGCGAUUCGACAGCUUGGAUGAGAGGUUCAGUCGAUUCGAAGCUGUUACGGAGAUAAACAAUCAGUCGAAGGAAGCGAAGCUGGAUGAGAGAUUCGCGAGCCUCGAAUCAACUUUAACUUCGUUCAUCACCUCGAUUCAACAACAGAAUUUCAGAUCUACGCAACCUGAGUCG